CAAGGAAGAAGAACAAACUAAUAAUAAUAAUAAUAAUACGGGCUCGUACAGGCGGCAUGUCCACUACAAUAAUUAUGUUUAUUGGCGCUGUGUAGUGUUAUAUAAAAACAGAAAGCCAUUUGGGAUUUAACAGUUGUCUGGCACUGAUGGACAUUGUACAGGAGUUGAUCCCAGUGUCUGCGAAUAUCGUUCUGUCCCUCUCAGCUCUGUCUGCUGCUUUUCAUCUGUUCAGGGACCACCGAGCUCCAUCGGUGGGUUUUUUCUUCAUCGCCUGCUCAUCAUUUCUGGCAGUUAUCCCUCUGCCCCCAUCUCUGUCACAGUUCCAGAAAGAUCUAGAAUGGGCAGGCGAGAUACUGGGCCCCUCUCUUUCUGCCUUUGGCUUUUUGUGGCUCAGUGAAGAUCGCUGGACUGCCCAUGUACUCCUGACUGGUUCAGCACUUCUUCCGAUGCUCUCUGAUUGGCUGUCGGAGGACGGUUUGGUGAUAUUAACGCGUUGUGUGUCCUUGUCAGCACUUUCAUGUGCUCUGACAGUGUGCCUGUUUGCUACCAGUGGGACUGGUGUGCUGGCAAGUGUGGCCCUCAGCCUUCCUGCACUUGUGGCACCCGGGGUCAGAGGUGGCAGCAUGGUCUCUCUGAUAUCUUCACAGGGCACUGAAGUGUUAUUGGCAUGGAGUCUGAAAGUCAUCAUGGCGGUAGGGUGCUGGACAAUGAAGACAGCUUUAGAUACAUUCCUCAAGAAUUUGAAGAGCUGGGACUGAACCCUGUGUGUUACCACAACCAGUAAAAUGCUACUUGAAGCUCAUGAACUGAUUUUCUGUUACGUUACAGUGAGACUCCACAGUGUGCUGCUGUUGCUGUAUACCUCAUAGGACACAGCCAAUUUGCUCGCCCGCAGUAAUGAUGGUCAUGAGUGACUCAAACAAAUUCAGAUGUACUUCUUUCCUCAAAUGACUAACAAUUUGGAGCGUAAACUUUGUAAACAAGAAACUGUAACCUACCAAAGCCAUAUUUAGGUACCUGCUACCUAUCUUAUUUAUUUCUCCAUAUUAGCCUUCAUAAUAAGACCUCAGCUGUUCACUGGGACUAAGAAAUAUUACAUUAACAUUUUCUUAUUUAUUUAUUCAGAUGGGUGACAUUAAUUUAACAUUAUUUUUUUAUCACCUUAUGUUAAACUUACAAAUUUCUCUAAAUUCCUGAAUUAUAUAUAAUUCAUUAUAGCAUAAUUAACUUUUCACAUUUUACUUUUCUAUUUAAACUUUUUAUUUAUUUUUAAAUGUGCCUUAAAAUUUUUUUUAUAUGUAAGCCUACAGAUUUACACAUUAAAUAAACACUAUACACAGUUUUUCCAAGGAAGAAUCAUACAGUAUAUUGUGUUGUAUUUCACUAAGUCGGGUCUAAUCGGGUCUUUGUGUACUUCAUGAGUCAGCAUAAAUAGUGUACACAAUGCUAUUUGAGGUUGUGCCCAGACAUACAGUAUUAUUAGCAUGCCAUAUAUUCCGUUCUCCUGUGUUCUCUAGCUCAGCAACUUCCACCACAAAAAUAAAUCAGCUGAUCAUCAUCCGUCAUCAGUCCAUUUAAAUUAAUGUUUGUUUAUUUCCUCAGUCUCUUACUCUGUUGCCCCAGGUUGCUUGUGCCUCCUGUCAGUAACUGAUACUUUAGUAUGAUUUCACAAUGCCUGAUAUAUGCAAAUUUCCCACAAAUCUUGACUCCAUGACAUACUAAGGCAAAUUACUGUUACAGGAUUUUAACUGGACCUUAUUACUGAUUGUAUGUAUUCUUUACAAACUUCACAACUUUAACCCAUUAACAUUCUUCUUAACAUUUUGGUAGAGCCACUACUGUAUAUCGAAUAGAAAAAUGUGUGCAACCUGAUUGAGCUACAGUAUUUCUAAAAUUCACCAGAGACAUUCUAGGCUAAGAGAAAUCCACUAGAUGUCACUGUGUCUUUAAAUAGCAUGCCCUUUCAAUUGCCUUUUUAGAAUAGCACAAGAGAUAGAGUUGACCUGAAACAAAAAUAUAGCAACUGUGUUUGUCUUGCACAUUCUUUUAUCACAAAGUGACAUCUCAACCGUUUGGAAGAGGCCUAUACUGACAUAAUGAAAAAGAAACUGGCUGUUGGUAUUAUU